GGCAGUAUAGUGUAACGAUGCACCCAGGAUUUUCUCAAGUGAGAACAGUGAUUGAUCCCAAGGUCCUUGUUCGAAUCAAGGUGCUGCUA